rnacentral:lncRNA from 1 species
UCGUUGUGGCCCCAGAGUUGUACAGGCCUUGCAUGUAUUUUCCUGUAGGAUAGGGGAUGGGGAAUUGACAAUCAACAAAUCUGACAUAGUGCCAUCUGCCUUCCUGGGCAUCGGUUGUUACUCACUGAUGUGGUUUCCAGAGUCAUGUCAGAUCACAGGGGUCUUCCUAAUUAUUUUUUUUUUUCUGUUCUCCCUUUCAGGCACACGGUUUCCUCAGACCUGUCCUGAAGGCACCUUUACUCCCCCAAACAUGACUGGCCUCUGGAAUGAGAAGGAAUGCCUGCCUUGCUUACCUGGCCACUACUGCAGGCGUGGGCAGCUGGAGGGCAAGUGUGCUGCUGGCUACUUCUGCCUCGCUGGGAGCUCGCAGUCUGCUCCACAGGGCCCUGGCUUUUCCUGGCGCUUUCUGUCUGGAUGCCGCUGGGGCCAGGUGUGUGCUGGGCUGUGUCCUGCAGGUUUCUAUUGCCUGGAGGGCUCUGAGGUGCCCAUACCGUGUCCUUCCAAUACUAUCAGAGAUGUUCCAGGGGCUGGGCGGAGAGAAGACUGCCUGCCCUGUCCACCCGGCCGCUGGUGCAAAGCAGGGGACUCAGAGGCUUAUCCAUGUCCCUCAGGACACUAUUGCCUCGGAGGUAAUGUCAGUGACCAAAGCAAUCUCCUGGCACCUCAGAAAUGCCCUCCGCACACUUACCGCAAACACCCUGGAGCUCAGAGUGUGGCAGAUUGCCAGCCGUGUCCUCCAGGCUAUCACUGCCCUUUAUCAGGUAAGUGCCAGAUGAAAGCCAACCCUCUUCCACCACUGGAGCUGAUUACAAAACUCCCCAAGACGAGAUAG